rnacentral:rRNA from 1 species
CCUACGGGAGGCAGCAGUGAGGAAUAUUGGUCAAUGGCCGAGAGGCUGAACCAGCCAAGUCGCGUGAGGGAAGACGGCCCUACGGGUUGUAAACCUCUUUUGUCAGGGAACAAAGGCGAGGACGUGUCCCCGGCUGCGUGUACCUGACGAAAAAGCAUCGGCUAACUCCGUGCCAGCAGCCGCGGUAAUACGGAGGAUGCGUGCGUUAUCCGGAUUUAUUGGGUUUAAAGGGUGCGCAGGCGGUCUGUUAAGUCAGCGGUCAAAGCCCGGGACUCAACCCCGGCCCGCCGUUGAAACUGGCAGUCUCGAGUUGGAGAGAAGUAUGCGGAAUGCGCGGUGUAGCGGUGAAAUGCAUAGAUAUCGCGCAGAACUCCGAUUGCGAAGGCAGCAUGCCGGCUCCACACUGACGCUGAGGCACGAAAGCGUGGGUAUCGAACAGGAUUAGAUACCCCAGUAGUC